rnacentral:rRNA from 1 species
AGCAGCCGCGGUAAUUCCAGCUCCAAUAGCGUAUAUUAAAGUUGUUGCAGUUAAAAAGCUCGUAGUUGAAUUUCGGGAUCAGUACGCUGGUCGUGCCUUUGGUAUGCACUGGUGUCACUGGUUCCUCCCUUCUGAAGAACUGUCAUGCCAUUAAUUUGGUGUGGCGGGGAAUCAGGACUGUUACUUUGAAAAAAUUAGAGUGUUUAAAGCAGGCUCGCGCUUGAAUACAUCAGCAUGGAAUAAUGAAAUAGGACGUUUGAUCCUAUUUUGUUGGUUUCUAGGAUCGACGUAAUGAUUAAUAGGGAUAGUUGGGGGCAUUAGUAUUCAAUUGUCAGAGGUGAAAUUCUUGGAUUUAUUGAAGACUAACUACUGCGAAAGCAUUUGCCAAGGAUGUUUUCAUUAAUCAAGAACGAAAGUUAGGGGAUCGAAGACGAUCAGAUACCGUCGUAGUCUUAACCAUAAACUAUGCCGACUAGGGAUCGGAUGAUGUUAAUUUUUAAUGA